rnacentral:tRNA from 1 species
UGGCUGAGCGGUAAAGUGCUUGGCUUCUGAACUGGGGGUCCCGGGUUCGAAUCCUGG